GAUGAACGCUGGCGGUCUGCUUAACACAUGCAAGUCGAACGAACUCUUCGGAGUGAGUGGCGGACGGGUGAGUAACGCGUGAGAAUCUGCCUGUGGGUCGGGGACAACCACUGGAAACGGUGGCUAAUACCGGAUGAGCCGAAAGGUAAAGAUUUAUUGCCCACAGAUGAGCUCGCGUCUGAUUAGCUAGUUGGUAAGGUAAAAGCGUACCAAGGCGACGAUCAGUAGCUGGUCUGAGAGGAUGAGCAGCCACACUGGGACUGAGACACGGCCCAGACUCCUACGGGAGGCAGCAGUGGGAAUUUUCCGCAAUGGGCGAAAGCCUGACGGAGCAAGACCGCGUGGGGGAGAAGGCUUUCGAGUCGUAAAGUUCUGUUCUUGGGAAGAUAACGACGGUACCCAAGGAGAAAGCACCGGCU
rnacentral:rRNA from 1 species